CGACUGCAAGAUGACGUGAAUGGGCUCCGAUUUAUUCGAUGAGUAGGUGAAGCCCAGGAAAGUCCCCGGGCCGCUUAUGCCAGAGAUGCAUGCUUGGAAACGAGCUAAACUUUCACAGCUUGUGAGUUCCAUUCUUAUACGUGAGAUGGGCUUGAGACGAGGUGGAGCCUAUGGACUCUUGCCGGAAUGCUCUAUUGGCCGAUAGUAAUACAGUUAUUCACGUGGUCCAACUGGACUAUAACUGAACGGGGCUUACACUCUUGCAGUC
rnacentral:RNase_MRP_RNA from 1 species